rnacentral:lncRNA from 1 species
CGAGCACUCAGUAAGAAAGGAUAGCUUUUCUCCCUUUUCUGCUUCGCUCCCAACUAAGAAUGCAGAGUCAGGGAGAUGGCGCAGAGACAAUGCUGCUGUCCAUUGAAGCCCUCCAAAGGUCGGAGAUUCGAUCACAGGACAGCCUGGCCUGGACCAAGUCAGGUUGAUAUGGCUAGGCGGCCUGCUGGCGAGAUAGUGGGAGUGGGCGGUCCGCCCCUCAGGACCUCUGACUUGGACAGAUGACUGGAUGACUCUCUGGGGCAGCAUUCACCGGAACUCAUAUGGAGGGGACUGCCUGAGAAACCAACCUGUGUGCCUGGGUCAGGUUGAUAUGGCUAGGCGGCCUGCUGGCGAGAUAGUGGGAGUGGGCGGCCCGCCCCUCAGGACCUCUGACCUGGACAGAUGACUGGAUGACUCUCUGGGGCAGCAUUCACCGGAACUCAUAUGGAGAGGACUGCCUGAGAAACCAACCUGUGUGCCUGGGUCAGGUUGAUAUGGCUAGGCGGCCUGCUGGCGAGAUAGUGGGAGUGGGCGGUCCGCCCCUCAGGACCUCUGAUUUGGACAGAUGACUGGAUGACUCUCUGGGGCAGCAUUCACCGGAACUCAUAUGGAGGGGACUGCCUGAGAAACCAACCUGUGUGCCUGGGUCAGGUUGAUAUGGCUAGGCGGCCUGCUGGCGAGAUAGUGGGAGUGGGCGGUCCGCCCCUCAGGACCUCUGACUUGGACAGAUGACUGGAUGACUCUCUGGGGCAGCAUUCACCGGAACUCAUAUGGAGGGGGCUGCCUGAGAAACCAACCUGUGUGCCUGGGUUGAUAUGGCUAGGCGGCCUGCUGGCGAGAUAGUGGGAGUGGGCGGUCCGCCCCUCAGGACCUCUGACUUGGACAGAUGACUGGAUGACUCUCUGGGGCAGCAUUCACCGGAACUCAUAUGGAGGGGGCUGCCUGAGAAACCAACCUGUGUGCCUGGGUCAGGUUGAUAUGGCUAGGCGGCCUGCUGGCGAGAUAGUGGGAGUGGGCGGUCCGCCCCUCAGGACCUCUGACUUGGACAGAUGACUGGAUGACUCUCUGGGGCAGCAUUCACCGGAACUCAUAUGGAGGGGGCUGCCUGAGAAACCAACCUGUGUGCCUGGGUCAGGUUGAUAUGGCUAGGCGGCCUGCUGGCGAGAUAGUGGGAGUGGGCGGUCCGCCCCUCAGGACCUCUGACUUGGACAGAUGACUGGAUGACUCUCUGGGGCAGCAUUCACCGGAACUCAUAUGGAGGGGGCUGCCUGAGAAACCAACCUGUGUGCCUGGCCCACCACCUACCAGAGGUAUUGGAAAAGAACGGAUACGGAGGAAGUGGACCCAUUUAGAGUUUUCAGGUUUGAAAAAAGGAUGGAAAAGAACUCAAAUUCAGAGAAUCCCAUUUCUUCAGAUGCUUCUGUCAGGACUCCAUGUCAAUCUCAACUCCUUCAUUCUUGUCCUCAAGUGUUUCUGUCAGGCUGUUUGCACUCACAUCUUCAAGAGCUGCCAGAUCAAGAGAGGGCAGAGGGUUCCUCCAAUACUGGAAUGUAUUAUACUGCCAAAACUCUUCAGGCUGCUGGCUGUGCACCCGGUCGGCUACCUGCGGGCUUCCCGCGUUUUCUACUCUGUCGCCGCCGCCCGCAGCCCGGGGUUCCUCCUGCUCGCCAGGAGGCGGCUCUCCGGGCUCCCGGCUACAGCCCUGCAGCUCCUGUCUGUCGUCCCCGCCAUGAUCCCCGCGUCCCCCUGGCGCUUGAGGGGCCGAGCCGUCCCAGACGGCGGGACCCAGAGCGGCGGCUCCUCGGGGAAGUCGCUGAGCAGGAGCCGCUUCCAAGGCACGCGGAACGUGAGCGGCUCAGCCGCACGCCGCUUGGCCAUGGGCCAGGGACGAGGGUCGCACGGGUGUCGGCCGAGGGCGGAGGGCGAAGGGCAGCCAAGACAUCUUAUGCCAUCACAUUCUCUAAUGACUGAUUAAAAAUAUAAAUCAUUUG